rnacentral:rRNA from 1 species
GAUGAACGCUGGCGGCGUGGAUUAGGCAUGCAAGUCGAGCGUGAUCAGUUUGGUGCUUGCAUUAAACUGUGAAAGCGGCGAAAGGGAGAGUAACGCGUAGUUACCUGCCUCAGGGUCCAGAAUAGCCACGGGAAACUGUGGGUAAUGCUGAAUAACAUCUCCGGAUCAAAGGUGUGAUUCCGCCCUGAGAGGGGACUGCGUCCUACUAGUUUGUUGGUGGGGUAAUGGCCUACCAAGACUUUGAUGGGUAGCGGGUGUGAGAGCAUGACCCGUCUCACUGGGACUGAGACACUGCCCAGACACCUACGGGUGGCUGCAGUCGAGAAUCUUCGGCAAUGCGCGCAAGCGUGACCGAGCGACGCCGCGUGCGGGAUGAAGGCCUUCGGGUUGUAAACCGCUGUCGUAGGGGAGGAAGGCUCCAUGAAGAAUGGGGUUUGACCUAUCCUAGGAGGAAGGACGGGCUAAGUUCGUGCCAGCAGCCGCCGUAA